GGUGCUCGACUUGCUAACGAAGAAUGUUGAAGACGAAGAUAAGAAGGCCACACCGAGAGAGAGAGGCUUUGCAGGCACCGCAAGGUAUCUGGAGACCCUUUUCACCCUCCCCACGAGAGGAAGGUUUAGGGUCGGUGGUCGAUCGCCGAAGGAGGAGGAGGAGGCUGGGGUCCACCGGAGCGGAUAAGCACGCCGCGAGCCGGCGGCGAAGGGUAGGAGCGAAGGCGAUGGCCUGGUGGGACAAGGCCGUGGCUUUCCCCGUGAAGCGUGCCUGCGUCGCCGUCGCCGCCGCCGCCGCCGCCGCCGCCCGGGUUAAGGCUCCAAACCCCAGUGAGCUCAUCCGCCUCCUUAUCCUGCUUCUUCACAUUAAGCAUACCAUGUGAAUCGGAGGACCGGAGGUGAGAAUAGCAUGCUUCUCGAUGAACAUGUCAUCGUCGUCAUCGUCUCUUCACCUAUAGCAUGUCCUGUCAUCUUCUUAUGGCGUGAUGAUUGCAGAAGAAAAGAAACAUCUUUGCACAGCCUCUUCUACAGAGCUUUUAGGUGGUGGAAUUCAGAAGCUUCACGAUGAUGUUCAGAUGUGUGGAUACCAGGAUGUGCAGGUCAUGUGGGAGAUGGUGAGGAGAUCAGAAAUGGAGUUAUCGAACAAGCGCAAAAGGUACAAGAGACUGCUGUGGAGGCUACCGACUUGGUCGAAUCGAACAUCUUCCACUGAUCUCAUGGUUCCUCAUUGAGAGAGUUUGGCAGCAGACUUGAGCAGGAUUCAGCUGAUACUAAUUGCAUCUGCCCCUCCUUUUCUACCACCAGUGAGAUGUAAGAAAUAAAAGUUUGAUAGUGAGCUUGAACAAACAUUAGCUAGUAUAUUUCUCUCCCCUGUCUCACACAAUGAGAUACAAGAAUUGUGUACAUUAUCCAGAUCAUGUGUAUAUGUGAAUAUUACUAUCAGGAAUGGCACCCCAAAAUUAAAAGGAGGUGGAAAAUUGGUGCAAAAGCCUCAA